GACCCAGUGGUGCAAUGUUCAGCACACCUGCACAAUUUAAUCGCUCCUAUAGGUGUUGUUCUGCAGGAGAUCCCUGUUCAACUCGGGGCUGGGUCA